AGAGUUUGAUCAUGGCUCAGAACGAACGCUGGCGGCGUGUCUAAUACAUGCAAGUCGUACGAGAAAGUCUGGCUUCGGCCGGGCGAGUACAGUGGCGAACGGGUGAGUAACACGUGAGCAAUCUGCCUUUGAGUUCGGGAUAAGCCCGGGAAACUGGGUCUAAUACCGGAUAACAUCGCUGGAUGGCAUCUUCCGGCGAUCAAAAGACGGGGCAACCUGUCACUCGAAGAUGAGCCCGCGCUCCAUUAGCUUGUUGGCAGGGUAACGGCCUACCAAGGCUACGAUGGAUAGCCGGCCUGAGAGGGUGAACGGCCACACUGGGACUGAGAUACGGCCCAGACUCCUACGGGAGGCAGCAGUAGGGAAUAUUGCGCAAUGGGCGAAAGCCUGACGCAGCGACGCCGCGUGGGUGAUGAAGCUCUUUGGAGUGUAAAACCCUGUCAGCGGGGAAGAACCGCAUACGGAGUAACUGCCGUAUGCCUGACGGUACCCGCAGAGGAAGCUCCGGCUAACUCCGUGCCAGCAGCCGCGGUAAUACGGGGGGAGCGAGCGUUGUUCGGAUUUACUGGGCGNNAAAGGGCGCGUAGGUGGAUCUCCAAGUCAAAUGUGAAAACCGGUGGCUUAACCGCCGGCCUGCAUUUGAUACUGUAGAUCUUGAGUACGGGAGAGGAAAGCGGAAUUCCUGGUGUAGCGGUGAAAUGCGUAGAUAUCAGGAGGAACACCGGUGGCGAAGGCGGCUUUCUGGCCCGAUACUGACACUGAGGCGCGAAGGCCGGGGGAGCAAACAGGAUUAGAUACCCUAGUAGUCC
rnacentral:rRNA from 1 species